rnacentral:rRNA from 1 species
GACGAACGCUGGCGGCGUGCUUAACACAUGCAAGUCGAACGGAAAGGCCCUGCUUUUGUGGGGUGCUCGAGUGGCGAACGGGUGAGUAACACGUGAGUAACCUGCCCUUGACUUUGGGAUAACUUCAGGAAACUGGGGCUCAUACCGGAUAGGAGCUCCUGCUGCAUGGUGGGGGUUGGAAAGUUUCGGCGGUUGGGGAUGGACUCGCGGCUUAUCAGCUUGUUGGUGGGGUAGUGGCUUACCAAGGCUUUGACGGGUAGCCGGCCUGAGAGGGUGACCGGCCACAUUGGGACUGAGAUACGACCCAGACUCCUACGGGAGGCAGCAGUGGGGAAUAUUGCGCAAUGGGCGGAAGCCUGAUGCAGCAACGCCGCGUGCGGGAUGACGGCCUUCGGGUUGUAAACCGCUUGCGCCUGUGACGAAGCGUGAGUGACGGUAAUGGGUAAAGAAGCACCGGCUAACUACGU